GACGAACGCUGGCGGCGUGCUUAACACAUGCAAGUCGAACGGAAAGGCCCUGCUUUUGUGGGGUGCUCGAGUGGCGAACGGGUGAGUAACACGUGAGUAACCUGCCCUUGACUGUGGGAUAACUUCAGGAAACUGGGGCUAAUACCGGAUAGGAGCUCCUGCUGCACGGUGGGGGUUGGAAAGUUUCGGCGGUUGGGGAUGGACUCGCGGCUUAUCAGCUUGUUGGUGGGGUAGUUGCUUACCAAGGGUUUGACGGGUAGCCGGCCUGAGAGGGUGACCGGCGACAUUGGGACUGAGAUACGGACCAGAAUGCUACGGGAGGCAGCAGGGGGGAAUAUUGCACAAUGGGCGGAAGCCUGAUGCAGCAGCGCCGCGAGCGGGAUAACGGGCUUCGGGUUGUAAACCGCUUUCGCCUGUAACGAAGAGUGAGUGACGGUAAUGGGUAAGGAAGCACCGGCUAACUACGUG
rnacentral:rRNA from 1 species